rnacentral:rRNA from 1 species
AGCAGCCGCGGUAAUUCCAGCUCCAAUAGCGUAUAUUAAAGUUGUUGCAGUUAAAAAGCUCGUAGUUGAAUUUCGGGAUUGACACAUCGGUCGUGCCUUAAGGGGUAUGAACUGGUGUAGUCAAUUUCUCACCUUCUGGAGAACCGCGAUGCCCUUAAUUGGGUGUCGCGGGGAACCAGGACCUUUACUUUGAAAAAUUAGAGUGUUUAAAGCAGGCAUUUUGCUUGAAUACAUUAGCAUGGAAUAAUAAAAUAGGACGGCAUGAUUCUAUUUUGUUGGUUUCUAGGAUCACCGUAAUGAUUAAUAGGGAUAGUUGGGGGCAUUAGUAUUCAAUUGUCAGAGGUGAAAUUCUUGGAUUUAUUGAAGACUAACUACUGCGAAAGCAUUUGCCAAGGAUGUUUUCAUUAAUCAAGAACGAAAGUUAGGGGAUCGAGACGAUCAGAUACCGUCGUAGUCUUAACCAUAAACUAUGCCGACUAGG